AGAUUGUGGAAUCAAUCUCCACUUGUGAAAACAAUUGAUCUUAAGUAAUAGAUCAUGUGUUGUUUUCAUUUCACCAAAUUUACCAUUUGUUUUACAAAACUAGUAACGGGAAACAAAAAAUGUACCGUCCUCCAACUUAAGGAUACUUGGUUGUCAUCAAGACCUCCUAAGUUCCUUGUUCCAAGAAGCAGGCAAAUAUUUGAUACAAGUCUUCUAAAGAAAGUCCACUGCUACAAAUCUCCUUAAGGGAAGAGUCUUUUAAUACUGUGUAGUCCUAUGUUCAGUAACAAUUUAGCUAUUAUAAAUAUUUGUCACAGAUUUGCAAGUGAAAGCCAAAUAUAAACCAAACUUACUGUUCAUA